AUUUGUUUAGUGGAUUUGGACCAAAGAUAGGCCCAUCUUAUUUUUGGUUAAGUUUUUCUUAGUCUCAACCCAAGUUGUAAGAUGCGUUGACACUUUAGGGUCAGGAGCCCUUACAUUUGGCUAUGUACUAUGUAUGGCUUUUAUGGAUGAACAGAAAUAAGUCUCUACACCAAAAGGUUUGUCAUCUUACGGUACCAUUACUCCCCUUCUUUUUUUAUCGAGUUCGAGUAACUUAUCUCAAGGAUAUUUCAGACUAGGGAAUCCAUUCAACAGGCGAUGAGAUCUUUCGUUUCCAAGCUCUUCAACUGCAUUUCCUACGGGUUUGCUCAUGGCUGGUCUCCUCUUCCGUGCUCCAUCUUCUACUUCUCUUCUCUAUUCUGGAUGGAGGGCUUCAAGUUGCUAUGACGUGAAAGACCAGGUGCACUUUCAUCCGAUAGGACGCUUUGCCGACUUUCAAACUUCUUUCUCCGCUGCUAUUGCUAUAUCAAGAUGGUUUAUUGCAUCAUAGAUAAAGACAGGGUUUGCUGACACAUUAGCCACACUAGCUUCAGUUACAUAUCCGGGCUAGUAGACCAAUAUGAUAUGACGAGUUAGGGCGAUCCAGCGGGGGCGCUAGAUGUUACCUUUGACUCUGCUGUCUCCACCUAUACUUGGAUGCGGGCAAGUAGCAAAACGCCAUAUAAAGCGCUACGAUGCUGUUGAAACCGUCCUCAAACCUUUGCCUUUCUUCGUUGGUUUACGUUUACGCACGGUUUGAUUCAGAUCCUUUUUUCCGGGGGCUCGUAAAUGGUUUUGGUUAGUCACUAGAGGUUAGUAGGUUUCAGUUGUUUAGUCACUGCUAAAUGAGAGCAGUCACCAACGCGUCCCAUCGUAAUGACUGGGCGUUAAGCCUCACGAGCUUACGGGAGAUAGAGCGAAGCAAGCCUACACUGGCUUGUGGCUUUCAAGAAGAAAGUUCAAGGUAAGCGAAUAGGUUCACUCUUUCGAGAUAGCCAGAUAAGAGAGUAGAGAUAGAGAUGCUUUGAAUA
rnacentral:lncRNA from 1 species